GAUGAACGCUAGCGGCAGGCUUAACACAUGCAAGUCGAGGGGUAGAAGGAGCUUGCUCCUUUGAGACCGGCGCACGGGUGCGUAACGCGUAUGCAAUCUACCUUUUGCAGAGGAUAGCCCAGAGAAAUUUGGAUUAAUACCUCAUAGUAUGUGAGGAUGGCAUCAUUUUCACAUUAAAGUCACAACGGCAAAAGAUGAGCAUGCGUCCCAUUAGCUAGUUGGUAAGGUAACGGCUUACCAAGGCUACGAUGGGUAGGGUCCUGAGAGGGAGAUCCCCCACACUGGUACUGAGACACGGACCAGACUCCUACGGGAGGCAGCAGUGGGGAAUUUUGGACAAUGGACGCAAGUCUGAUCCAGCCAUUCCGCGUGCAGGAUGAAGGCCCUCGGGUUGUAAACUGCUUUUUAGUACGGAACGAAAAGGUUUCUAUUAAUACCUAGGAGCUCAUGACGGUACCGUAAGAAUAAGCACCGG
rnacentral:rRNA from 1 species